AUUUUAGGUUCUAGAUAUGAGUAUUAGAUAGUUUGAGAAAUUGGUCCUAAGGGUGAAGAUGAUCCCUUAUCAAAAUUAAUGUAUUUAAUACAUAACAUCUUUGGAAAAGAGACAACUCAAAGAUGCUCAGGUACUGAUUCCAACGGCUUGUACUGCCAUUCAUCUUUUCUAUGCUUCACAA